rnacentral:misc_RNA from 1 species
UUUCCGUAGGUGAACCUGCGGAAGGAUCAUUACCGAGUGAGGGCCCUCUGGGUCCAACCGCCCACCCGUGUUUAUCGUACCUUGUUGCUUCGGCGGGCCCGCCUCACGGCCGCCGGGGGGCACCCGCCCCCGGGCCCGCGCCCGCCGAAGACACCAUUGAACGCUGUCUGAAGAUUGCAGUCUGAGCAUCUUAGCUAAAUUAGUUAAAACUUUCAACAACGGAUCUCUUGGUUCCG